ACAUUUCUUCAAUUGCAGCCAAAAUCGCCAUCCAGUCUUUAGAUAUUCGUUAGACUUUAUAAUAUUUCUCUAAUUGUAAAUGUGCCAGAUUGAUGAGCAUUAAAUUUAAAUUGAGUUUAUUACCUUCACACUUCUUUUUUCAAUGUAAUUUUAUACAUUUAAUAUUUAAAACACUUUAUAAGAGCUUAAAGUCACACCCGACAGCCGAUGGAUAGUGCCUAUAUCACUACCUUUACUUGGGAAGUACCAAGCCUCGUUUGUCAAUACAACUUUGACACGACAAAUCGCAAACGCACGAAGAUAGAUCAAUCUUCGGCCAAAAACGCCCCAAGGAAAGACGAUUUAACAUCGUCUGCCGACGAAAACGCCUCGGACGUCGAAACUCAACACGAGUCCGAAGUCGACGCUACAACUCAACCAGAACAUCCGGAAAAGAGCAUUGACCCGACCACGAUCGUCAUGAUCAAGGCGGUCAGCACGACGACAACCGCCGAGUAAAAAACGCUCGCAGCAUGAAACAGAACUACGAGAUGGCUUGAUCCUCGAAAGAGGUACGUAGGCAGUUUGUCAAAAGACGAGUUCAGCUAUCCCCCUCUUGCAAUAUCCCAUAGGUACGACAAAUUCAAGCCUACCAAAAUAACUUUGGUUCUUGCUGAUAGAUCCGUUAGAGUACCUGAGGGAAUACUUGGCGACGUGCCAAUAAAGAUUAACGACUGUCACAUACCAACGGAUUUCGUUGUGCUGAAAUACCCGAAUGAACCGAAAGAUCCCCUCAUUUUGGGUAGACCAUUUCUAGCUACAGCUGGUGCGAUCAUCGAUGUCAUGGAAGGAAGAAUAUGUCAAAACAUCGGAAAAAUUCCGAUGACCUUCGACAUGCAUAAGCUGAUAAGACAACCUUUAAUAGAUAAACAGACUUCCUACAUGGACUGUGGGAACCGAAAUUCACACAGUCGAUUUCCGAAAUUGGAAGAAAGUUAGGAAAUCCUAACUUCUCCUGAGGUCCCAGAUUCUCUGUGAGAGCCAACGACAAGUAACCAAAUAAAUGCGGAAAAUAUGAAAAGAUAACAAAACAAAUUUAUAGAAAAGGUAGAUCUUAUUUUGAAUCCGCCUAAGAGCGUUGGGAUCUUUACACCUCUCGCCUAGGACUCCUUAUAUACUCGCUCCUAGGUCGGUUUACGCUUUUCCUCUUCUGCUCUUAAGCCGUCAUAGCAUAAAAGUGGAGAUAUUCUAUUUUUUCCGAUGUUCGUAAUUAUCUUCAAAUUUUCGUAUUUAUCCGCGGAAACUUGACAUUUAUCUUUUCUUGCGAACCAAGCAUAAACUGUCAUGCGGCUUAUAGGCUGUUGAUUAAGAAAUUGUAAGUUGGGCCUCGAGUUAUGCCUUAGGUCCCUUUAGGCCGUCUUCUAACUCGAAGCGUUUAUUACGGCUUCUUUUGAUAAAGAACGAACUUUCCACGGUUUUUACCGCAAAGUUUGAUUGAUGACUAAGAAUGGCAGAAAACAUGAAAUGGGUUCGCUACGGUCUUCGGGAGAUAGCAUCGAAGGAUAGACGAGAAUGCAUGGACUAGUGUCGUAUCGACGUUUCGGAAGGGCUCGGUCGCUACGUAGCGACCGAGCAGUGUGCAUGUUCGGUCGUUGCGUAGUGAAUGAGCUUGGCUUGUCCGUGUUUCGAUCAUCGCACUCGAACCUAUCCGUGGCUGGUUUAGAUACGUUUCCGUUAUCUUUGGACAGCUUGUGUUUGAUCCAACCGGGACUUUAACGAGAUUUUAUCUCGAGAUCAUUGCGCCGUGAUAUAAUCUGUCGCGGAAAGAGAUUCACGCUUGUUUUUGCGGAAGUUUGGAUAUUAACUUCUUCGUAACCGUUUUUGACUCCAACAUAGUUAUUCGCCUAGCGCGGAUUAAUUCCUAGUAUUAAUCAAUUUGGGAAAAAAAAUUGAAUAGUAAAUUUCCAGUUACAACAAGACCGGAAAUUGUUAGUGGCCCCCCACCAUCUAAUCUUCUAAACACAUGGUAUCUUACGGCUGAGUUUGGCGGAGACACGGAAGUCUCGAUACUGCAAUUUAUGUUUUCCGGAUGACUACCACCACCUUAAUCUCCUCUGUUCUCUCUUCCUCUAUCUUCCCUACCGAAUAUCGCAGCUGGGUUCGAAUUCCGGCGACUUCAAUUCCCGGAGGUAGCAAUGUCCGCGUAGUGAAACAACGUCGUUUGAAAAUUAUCGCCAAAUCACUUGACCUUCCUCUUCUUCCGUUCAGUAUGAGCGAGGUUAGAAUCAUAAACCCUAAUAUUACAGCAAAUAUAAAUUUAAGUUCUUGCUUUUAACAUAUGGUUACAGGUUCUUGUACCAACGGAGAGUAAAACAUUGCAUUUGUACGAAGCAAGAUACUUGGCACUACUUGAAGAGGUAAUAAAUCUAUAAUUCCAAAAUUAUUUUAUGGAUUCACUUUUGAAAUUAAUCUAAUUACUUGGUCCGUGCAGUCGAUGAAAAGAAAAAAGAAUAUGUUUGUUCAUUUCAUUCUCGAUCCUAUUUCGAUUAGUGAGAAAGCAACAGAAGCAUCCUUUGCUGCUCGAUAUGGCUGCUUGGUACUUAUUGAAAAUGUAAGCUUCUUCUCAUGAGACUUUGAUCUUUGAUGAGUCCAUAAAAUGUAAGCUAAAAACCAUAUAUUACAGGUCGAGAGAUUAGACAUUGGAGCACUUGUCUCCAUAAGAGGUGCUGGUCGUGUGAAGAUUUCCAGAUUUUUAGGGGUAAGAAUGCAAAAUAAAAAUUAAUCAUUUUGUUAAACAUUGCAAUGUGAGUUAUGAUGUUCUUUCUCUUUGCACAAAAAACAAAUGACUAUAUGAUUUUUUUUUUGUCUCAGGCAGAUCCUUAUUUGUCCGGAGAGGUCAGACCAAUACAAGAUCGUUUUAAUUAUGAGAGCAGCAAUGAAAUAACCUCAGAAAUCUCCAACCUAAAGGAAUCUAUCAAGAAUCUCAAUAGCUUGGAGAUCAAACUUAAGGUACAACAAACCUACUUAAUGUAUCAUCCGGUCCCCUUAGAGGCCUGUAAUGUUCUUAUUAGUUGUAGUGUUGGCUUACCUCCUUUUACAACAGGCUCCAGAAGACUCGCUACUACAAACUCGUCUCCUUAACUCUUUGAAGUGGGCUGAAGAUGAGCCACCGGAAGAAUGUGAAGAAUCCUUCUUUCCUUCCCUUCAAGAACGUUUAUCAUUCGCUGCGCUUCAACCGGUUUCCGGUAACUCUUACAUUUUUUCUCUCUUGUGAUUUCAAGAGUCAAGAAGGUUUUCUGUUUAAAACUAUUAAAUUACGGCUCUGGGAGUUUCCUUUAGUAUAGCUUUUCGGGUUUUCUUGUUUUGCAGGAUCGACGCAGUCAGAACUAUCAAGGUUACAACAAGAGAAAUUAAAGGCAAUGGAUAUAAAAGAUACAAUGGAGAGGUUAAAACUUUCAAUGGGACUCAUCAAGGAGAACAUUUCUUCAAUUGCAGCCAAAAUCGCCAUCCAGUCUUUAGAUAUUCGUUAGACUUUAUAAUAUUUCUCUAAUUGUAAAUGUGCCAGAUUGAUGAGCAUUAAAUUUAAAUUGAGUUUAUUACCUUCACACUUCUUUUUUCAAUGUAAUUUUAUACAUUUAAUAUUUAAAACACUUUAUAAGAGCUUAAAGUCACACCCGACA
rnacentral:lncRNA from 1 species